AAUCACAGGUCUUAAUUUAGCCUGUGUUAAGUGCCAAGUACAUGUACACUAUCAUAGAAUAUCUCCCCUAAUAUAAUAAUAUAAAAAUAAAUUAUAAGGGAGGAUGUUCUGUGUACACAAUCACAGUUAAAGACAAGUAAACACAGUGACUGACUACUCACUAUUCUGUUAGUCGGUGCACAGGCAAAUGAAAGAAGGACACCUGAAAACAUAUUGAUAUAAAAUAAUGACAUUGUUUCAAUGGAAGUGAAUCCUGUUAACUUGGACGAAGAAACAGAACAACAUUCGCAUACUAGUAAUUCAUCUGAGAUGAAAAAUCGUCUGGCAAGCGCAGAAAAACAUCGGUGAAUCAGUUUGCUGCAAGAAGGAAAUUUAAUGGAACAAUAUAUGCAAUGUACCCGAAAUAUCAGAGGAACAAUCUGGUAGUAACAUAGGAUAACGAAUAGUUUCUCGCAUGUUGUAAAAUAGAUGGGUCCGCUAAAAUCGGACAAUAAUUGAUAUUCUGGCAAAUGAUUUUCAGAAAGGAUUUUUUUAAGAUCAUUUAAAGCAAUCAGAUUACAUUCUACUACGAAUUCCACUCCCGACAAACUCAUUUAACACUUCCAGAGUCGGCCCAAGAACCGUUGCAAGUCAAUGGCAAAACUGAUUCAAAAGAAGAAAAUUCGAAAACAUUUAUUCGUCUAAAGAACGUUCCAUGUGUUAAUCAGGAAAAUGAAAGCAACACAAAUAGUUCGCCUAUUUCAAACCUACCUAUAAUCAAUGUUGAAACAACGCCUCAGGUGAAAACAAACAACUUACUACCUUGCCAGUUGUAUCGAAGAAUCGAAAAACAUGUUGAUAUUCUAUUGAAUCCUGAGGAAAUACCCGUAUAUGAAUUUUAUGAUGAAGAUGAAGAAAAAAAGAAAAUCGAACAAAGAAAGAAAGAUCGGGAACUGAGAGAAAUUAAAAAUCGCACUUGCAUUCAUUGUCGCAAAAUAUUUCCUGAUGCAAUGGAUGUACUCCGCCAUAAAAGAGUGGCUCAUCCGACCAAAAGAAUAAUUUUACAGCGAGAAGAAAUUCAACGCUACAUGGCUGUAGAAGACAGAAAACAGUGUCCAGUAUGUUUUAUCAAAAUAUGCCCGAAAGGUUACAAAUCUAAAUACGUAAAACACUUGCUGACUCAUUGCAUUGAUUACAAGUUUGUUUGUCGUGUGUGUGGGAUGAAAUUUCGAAGAUGCAACCAUCAGAAAGAUCACGAGUCAAGGCAUAUAGUACCCCCAGAAAAAGUCGAAUGAUAUGCGAGUUAUUUAAGCAUUUCAAAAAAUGUGUGUAUUUGUUUUCAAUUGUCUUACUAAUCGUAACAAUACGUUAUGUAAAUGUAACGUAAUGGAAAUACAUAGACAUAUAUACAUUACAGUUUCUAAAUAUAACAGCCAAACGGAAACGCCAA